UACGUAGGGUGCGAGCGUUGUCCGGAUUUAUUGGGCGUAAAGAGCUCGUAGGCGGCUUGUCGCGUCGGAUGUGAAAGCCCGGGGCUUAACUCCGGGUCUGCAUUCGAUACGGGCAGGCUAGAGUGUGGUAGGGGAGAUCGGAAUUCCUGGUGUAGCGGUGAAAUGCGCAGAUAUCAGGAGGAACACCGGUGGCGAAGGCGGGUCUCUGGGCGGUAACUGACGCUGAGGCGCGAAGGCGGGGGAGCGAACGGG
rnacentral:rRNA from 1 species